GCGAGAAAUCCAGCGGUUUCACUAUCGUGUUUACACUAAUUAAACCCAUUACCCCCCGAUAAUCCGAACCGAGCCGAUCCGAUCCGGAUUAAGUCGGGCGGGUGGUUCCGGAGCGGGAUCCGGGUUCGUGAAAUCGGCCGAAAAUUUUCACACCCCCCCUCCCCCCCCCAUCGAGUUUAACCCUUUACCCCCCGUCCCAUAAUUCGGUGUUUUCUGAGGUAAAAUCUCGCUUUAUUCCCCGUUAUAAGAAUCCCGCCUGCGGGGGUCAGAAGGGGGGCUACCUGGGGGGGGGAGACUUUACCUUCCCCACCCCCCCAAAUGACGGGCGACCCCGCGGCUGGAGGGUGGGGCGCGGGGCUGCGCUCCUAGGAAAGUCCGGGGAUUUGCGGCCUAGUAACUGAGGAUUCUGACUGGGGAGGAGGAGGACGGCGGCGGCCGCCAGGAGAGCGAGGAGGAAGGUGAAGCCGGGAGGAAGAGCCCCGUCAGGGGAAGAGGCGGAUUAAUAAAUACCUCCCCUCCCGGGUCCUAGUCUGGGGGACCAGGAUACCGAGAGAGAGAGAGAGGUAAUAUAACCCGGGAGAUGGAGGGACACAGCAGG